UACGGGGGGGGCAAGCGUUGUUCGGAAUUACUGGGCGUAAAGCGAGCGUAGUCGGUUAUUUAAGUCGGAUGUGAAAUCCCCGGGCUCAACCUGGGAAUUGCAUUUGAUACUGGAUAGCUAGAGUUCGGCAGAGGGAAGCGGAAUUUCCGGUGUAGCGGUGAAAUGCGUAGAUAUCUGGAGGAACACCGGUGGCGAAGGCGGCAUCCUGGACCACGACUGACGCUGAGGAGCGAAAGCCAGGGGAGCAAACGGG
rnacentral:rRNA from 1 species